rfam:Planctomycetes bacterium RBG_13_60_9 RBG_13_scaffold_23346, whole genome shotgun sequence.
GCGUCCGUAGCUCAAUUGGAUAGAGCCUCGGUCUUCGGAACCGAUGGUUGGGGGUUCGAGCCCCUCCGGACGCA